rnacentral:rRNA from 1 species
CGCCUGUUUAACAAAAACAUAGCCUAUAGUUAUUUAUAAUAGGUAACUCCUGCUCAAGGAAUUUAUUUAUUUUAAUAGCCGCAGUAAUUUGACUGUGCUAAGGUAGCAUAAUCAUUUGGCCUUUAAUUGGGGUCUGGUAUGAAUGGAAAUACGAAGGAAUAACUGUCUUUAUUUAAAAAUAGAAUCGAAUUUAUUUAUUAAGGUGAAAAUACCUUAAAUUAAAUAAUAGACGAGAAGACCCUUAGACCUUUUAUUAGGAGUAUAAAUUCUUUAUAAUUACAUUUUUGUUGGGGCGACAUUGUAUCAAUUAUUAUAAUAAUUAACAUACAUAAUAUAUUUUUAUUUAUAUCUACAUAUAGUAUUAAUAAAUAAGGUACCUGAGGGAUAACAGCAUUAUUAUAUUAAUUACAUUGUGACCUCGAUGUUGGACUAGGAAAAUAACUAUUUAGAGAAUAGUUGUAUUAAGUUCUGUUCGAACAUUUAGUUCCUACGUGAUCUGAGUUCAGACCGG